UACGGAGGGUGCGAGCGUUGUCCGGAAUCACCGGGCGUAAAGGGCGCGUAGGUGGCCUGUGGAAGUCUGCGGUGAAAGCCCGGCGCUCAACGCCGGGUCGGCCGUGGAUACUCUCGGGCUUGAGCUUACUAGAGGCAGAUGGAAUUCCGGGUGUAGCGGUGGAAUGCGUAGAGAUCCGGAAGAACACCGGUGGCGAAGGCGGUCUGCUGGGGUAAUGCUGACACUGAUGCGCGACAGCGUGGGGAGCAAACAGG
rnacentral:rRNA from 1 species